ACGGUGGAGGUGGAGGGAAACGGAAUGGGAACAUCCACCUCCUUCUCCUUCCACAUGUUCCAGUUCACUGGGAGCUCUGGUGAGGUGUACCUGCACUGCCAAGUCCACCUGUGUGCCCACGACGAAGAGACCUGUACCCCGGUCUGUAAUGCGCAUGAUCGGAGACGCAGAUCUGCAAGGUUGGAAUAUGCAGAUGAAGCAUCAGCCUUCAUCACGAUGGCCUGGAUUCAUUAGGUUGUUAACACGCCGACUCGGACUGACUGACAGGCUGUGGACGUUCACAAGGAUUCCUGCCUUUGAUUGGUCCUGAUCCAGAGCCUUGAUGUGGGAAUCCUUUGGUUUUAGAAAGACAUCUUCUGAAGGGACACCUCAGCUCUCACUGCAGAUUUUCUGCCACUAGAGAAUAUAACUUGACCUUUUUUCCCUACAGUAUGAAACAC